GACGAACGCUGGCGGCGUGCUUAACACAUGCAAGUCGAGCGACGAAGCUCCUUCGGGAGUGGAUUAGCGGCGGACGGGUGAGUAACACGUGGGUAACCUGCCUCAUAGAGGGGAAUAGCCUUUCGAAAGGAAGAUUAAUACCGCAUAAGAUUGUAGCUUCGCAUGAAGCAGCAAUUAAAGGAGUAAUCCGCUAUGAGAUGGACCCGCGUCGCAUUAGCUAGUUGGUGAGGUAACGGCUCACCAAGGCGACGAUGCGUAGCCGACCUGAGAGGGUGAUCGGCCAACAUGGGACUGAGACACGGCCCAGACUCCUACGGGAGGCAGCAGUGGGGAAUAUUGCACAAUGGGGGAAACCCUGAUGCAGCAACGCCGCGUGAGUGAUGACGGUCUUCGGAUUGUAAAACUCUGUCUUCAGGGACGAUAAUGACGGUACCUGAGGAGGAAGCCACGGCUAACUACGUGCCAGCAGCCGCCGUAACAC
rnacentral:rRNA from 1 species